rnacentral:rRNA from 1 species
CCUACGGGAGGCAGCAGUGAGGAAUAUUGGUCAAUGGGCUUACGCCUGAACCAGCCAAGUCGCGUGAGGGAAGACUGCCCUAUGGGUUGUAAACUUCUUUUAUAUGGGAAUAAAGUUUUCCACGUGUGGAAUUUUGUAUGUACCAUAUGAAUAAGGAUCGGCUAACUCCGUGCCAGCAGCCGCGGUAAUACGGAGGAUCCGAGCGUUAUCCGGAUUUAUUGGGUUUAAAGGGAGCGUAGGUGGAUUGUUAAGUCAGUUGUGAAAGUUUGCGGCUCAACCGUAAAAUUGCAGUUGAAACUGGCAGU